rnacentral:rRNA from 1 species
GCACUCCCGGGGCGUCUCUUUCUCAUUGCGAGUGGAGGCGCACCCAGAGCGUACACGCUGAUACCCGAAAGAUGGUGAACUAUGCCUGGCCAGGACGAAGCCAGGGGAAACCCUGGUGGAGGUCCGCAGCGAUUCUGACGUGCAAAUCGAUCGUCGGAGCUGGGUAUAGGGGCGAAAGACCAAUCGAACCAUCUAGUAGCUGGUUCCCUCCGAAGUUUCCCUCAGGAUAGCUUGCGCUCAUGUGAAAGAGUCUCAUCCGGUAGAGCGAAUGAUUAGAGGCCUUGGGGUCGAAACGACCUCAACCUAUUCUCAAACUCCAAAUAGAUGAGAACUCCGGCUUUCUUGAACAAUUGUUUUUGAAGCCGGGGGCUCGGAUCAGAGUGCCAAGUGGGCCAAUUUUGGUAAGCAGAACUGGCGCUGUGGGAUGAACCAAACGUCGAGUUAAGGCGCCUAAAUCAACGCUCAUGUGAAACCAUGAAAGGCGUUGGUUGCUUAAGACAGCAG